GACGAACGCUGGCGGCGUGCCUAAUACAUGCAAGUAGAACGCACAGUUUAUACCGUAGCUUGCUACACCAUAGACUGUGAGUUGCGAACAGGUGAGUAACGCGUAGGUAACCUGCCUGGUAGCGGGGGAUAACUAUUGGAAACGAUAGCUAAUACCGCAUAAUAUUAAUUAUUGCAUGAUAAUUAAUUGAAAGGUGCAAUUGCACCACUACCAGAUGGACCUGCGUUGUAUUAGCUAGUAGGUGAGGUAACGGCUCACCUAGGCGACGAUACAUAGCCGACCUGGGAGGGUGAUCGGCCACACUGGGACUGAGACACGGCCCAGACUCCUGCGGGAGGCAGCGGUAGGGAAUCUUCGGCAAUGGACGAAAGUCUGACCGAGCAACGCCGCGUGAGUGAAGAAGGUUGUCGGAUCGUAAAGAUCUGUUGUAAGAGAAGAACGGGUGUGAGAGUGGAAAGUUCACACUGUGACGGUAUCUUACCAGAAAGGGACGGCUAACUACGUG
rnacentral:rRNA from 1 species